UCAGAUAGAGGUGCGGCAAAGAAAAGUAUCCGCUGAACAGACCUGCCAAGGUCGAUUACGCUACGGAAAAAGGCGAUGCCGCCGAAGGAAAUCAUUCGGCUCAUGAUUUCCUGAUUGCAUAUUGAACAAGUAUGCAAUUGUCAUCAUUUAUAUGAUGGAGUGCUAUCGG
rnacentral:ncRNA from 1 species